rnacentral:rRNA from 1 species
UGGGGAAUUUUUCGCAAUGGGGGCAACCCUGACGAAGCAAUGCCGCGUGGAUGAUGAAGUAUCUCGGUACGUAAAAUCCUUUCGACGGGGACGAAACCGCCAGGUUGACGGUACCCGUAGAAGAAGCCCCGGCUAACUCCGUGCCAGCAGCCGCGGUAAUACGGGGGGGGCAAGCGUUGUUCGGAAUUACUGGGCGUAAAGGGUGCGUAGGCGGCUCUCUAAGUCGGAUGUGAAAACUCUGGGCUCAACCCAGAGCCUGCAUCUGAAACUGGAGAGCUAGGGUUUUGGAGGGGAAAGCGGAAUUCCAGGUGUAGCGGUGAAAUGCGUAGAUAUCUGGAGGAACACCGGUGGCGAAGGCGGCUUUCUGGACAAAUACCGACGCUGAGGCACGAAAGCUAGGGGAGCAAACAGG